rnacentral:misc_RNA from 1 species
AGAAAAUGCCCACCAUCUGUUUGCUUGCUGCAAGGCAAUACCGUCGCUGCAUUGGGUUACCGGGCGAAAACACCCCGGUUUCACCACUGCCAUUGUCGUCUUCCGAAGCGAGCAAGUCCGAGAAACUAUGCCUCGGCUUCUGGGAUACUUUCUGCUGGUUGUUUAACGUUGGAGAAUCGACGUUGUCGAUGUUGAGGGCUUGAUGGAUGAGGGAUAGCCACUGGGCUGCA